rnacentral:lncRNA from 1 species
AUGGGACCGUUGUUCUGCUGCCACCUGGAAAUCCUCCCAGAGCUCAAAGCCUGCUGCUCUGGGCAAAGCUGACAAGGAAGGACAGAUUCAGCAGCCAACCAAGGAGCAUACCUUCAUUUGAUUUCCUUAAGGCAAAAGCACUGGCUAAACAAAGGGAGACUAUCUGGGAGAAGGUGUUUUCACCCUUUCAAGCUGGGGUGCUUUCACCACCGGGAAGUGCCACGCUGCUUUCCACGCUGGAACAAGGUACUGUGGUUUCAAAGUUCAAGGCUCUGUUUCAGGGAUGGGAAGGAAAAAAAAAUCAGUGAAAGAAGGUGUUCUGGUCUCUCAGGCAGAACCAUUUGUUAUUUGAUUCCAGAGCUCAUGUAAUUUUUAAAUACCACACUAUGCAUUUUCAUUACUAAAUGCAUUCAUUUUCAUCCUCAAGAAAAGUGUAUGCCCCCUUCCGCCUGCUUUACAUAAUAUGGCUUGAGCGCUUGUAAAAAUGGAUGGGCUGUAGCUCUGAGUUCUGCCAUUGUGCUAUUGACUGGAGCUCCUGGUUACUAUCACCAGAUCUAUGGGUGGAUCAGCCAUUCUUCUGCAGCAGGGAGUGGACCGACUCAAAGCACUUAGCACCAUUUAAACUUUUGUCCAUCUCUGUUUUUAUGCACACAAAGAGUUUCCUGGAAACAUGGCUAUCCUCCAAGGAUUUCAGAGAGUAGAAUUCUUCCAGAACUGCAGUGUCCCAAUCACUUGGAACCUCAUGAGAAAGCAGACUUAAACUCAGACCCUAGAACCUCGAACUUAGUAUGUUCCAAAAGCUUUGGCUCUGCCAUUUACCAACUGUGUAAUUUGGGGAACAUUGAUUCAUCACCCUAAAGCUUCAUUUUCUUCAUCUAUAAAAUGAGAUACAUAUUAGCUAUCUUGUCUUGCAUAACAAAUUACCCCAAAACUCAGUAGCUUAAAAGAACGUUUAUCGUCUCAGUUUCUGUGGGUCAACUCUCUGGCAUUGGGUCUCUUAUAAGACCACAGUCAUCUCAAGCUCAGUUGGGACAGAUCUGCUUCCUGCCUCACUCACCUCGUUAUUGUUGGCAGGACUCACUUCCUAAGGCCUUGGUUCCCCAGGAGCUGUUGGCCAGAAGCCUCCCUCGGUGCCCUGCCUCAUGGGCCUCUUCGUUGAGCAUCUCACAACGUGGCAGCUUACUUCAUCAGUGCAAGCAAGCAAGAGCAAGAGAGAGGACUCACCAGAGACAGUAAUAGCAAAACAGAAGGCACAGUCUUUCGUAAUCCAAUCACAGAUGUGACAUCCCAUCACUGUUGCCACAUCCUGUGAGUUAGAAAUGGUGGAGCCUUACUCUGUCGCUCAGGCUGGAGUGCAGUGGCGAGAUCUCGGCUCAAUGCAACAUCCGCCUCCCAGGUUCAAAUGAUUCUCCUGCCUCAGUCUCCGGAGUAGCUGGGAUUACAGGUGCCUGCCACCAUGCCCCGCUAAUUUUUGUAUUUUUAGUAGAGACGGGGUUUCACUAUGUUGGCCAGGCUGGUCUCGAAAUCCUGACCUCAGGUGAUCUGCCUGCCUCGGCCUCCCAAAGUGCUGGGAUUACAGGCAUGAGCCUCCAUGCCCGGCCUUGCUUUUUAUAUUUUUGACAAUAACAGAGCCACGGGAAGAAAGGAUGUGAUUAGGGGAAGAAAAAAGGGGAGAGGUUCAUGUUGUCUUUAUUUUCAUUAAUGAAUGUCUCAAACAUUUUAGGGUAUAAAUAGCAAUCAGUAUUUAGGAAAGGAAGCUGGAUUCACACUACUUGGAAAUCUGGGUCUUUACUCAUCCAUGGCAAUUUUUGGGUAUCAUGUGCUCUUACAGAAUCUCAUCUUAUGAUAUAGAUUCAGUUUACAGCUAUUCUAUGAUGCUUGAGUAUUUCAAAUAUUAAGUACAUUGAGGCUCAUGAGAAUUGCUAAUCUGCCGUGUGAAACUGCAGAGUUGUUUCCCAAGGGUAGAGAUGCAUUCACAUCCACCCACAUAGUACAAAGGGGGAAAUGAUUACGCUGGCCUGGAUUUUUUGUAAUAGUCCCGUGACAUGGCUUCCACAUUGCUCUGUGGGCUGUGGUUAAAGAACCUAAUCUAGAACAAGACAAGACUUGUAGAUUUAAAAAGUCACCUAAGCUGUUUCUUUCCUAGACAAAUGGGAUUCUAGUUUGGGUUUUAUUUUAUUUUAUUAUUUUUUGAGACAGUCUCAUUCUGUCAUCCAGGCUGGAAUGCUGUGGCGCAAUCUCGGCUCACUGCAAACUCUGCCCCCUGGGUUCAAGCUAUUCUCCUGCCUCAGCCCACCUAGUAGCUGGGAUUACAGGUGUGUGCCACCACACUCAGCUAAUUUUUUUGUAUUUUUAGUAGAGACGAGGUUUCACCAUGUUAGCCAGGAUGGUUUCAAACUCCUGGCCUCAUGUGAUUCACCCACCUUGGCCUCUCAAAGUGCUGGGAUUAUAGGCAUAAGCCACAGUGCCCAGCCCUAAUUUGAGUUUCAGAGGGCAAUUUGUACCGUUUGGAAAAGAUGCUGGAUCCUUCAAUAUUACUGCUUUAGAAAGAUUUGGAACUCUGACCCAUAUUUAGUACAUGACCUUUCUGGGGCGUGGAAAAAUAUGCUCUGUCAUCUAAUGUGAUGUCAAUUUUCUUUAACCUUCCAUGUAAAUAGUGCGCAUUAAGACAUGAGGUCUACUGUUAAAUAAUUUCUCUUUAUAAACAUAGUGACAACAAGAUUGUACAGUAUCAAUUAAAAAGACCCAAUGUGACCAGGUCCACUGCUUCCUGCAUCUUGAAGUAAGACAAGUGUUCAGCUUAGAGAUGAGCACCUUUCUUUCCAGAGGGAGAAGACAUGAUGGGAGAAAAAAAUGUUCUCUCUGAGAAUUUACCCAGAUAAAGAGCUGGGUAGUCGGAUCUAAAUGGUCCCACAGCAAUCCUUUUCUCGGGGGAGGUGCGUAGAUCUUUGACAAGUGAUGAACGAACUUUGCUUCGUGUGGUUAGGCCUGGGACUGAACUUUGUAACCAGGGAUUUGGUGCGCGGGGCUUCACAGGCUGCAGAGAAACAUGAAAACAUGAGUGCAUAUGCCAAACGUGUCUCAUGUGAGCGGCAGAGCCCAAGUGAAGGCCUCUUUGGCUAUAGGGUGUCUCCUUUUUUUUUUUCUUUUUGAGACGGAGUCCCACUCUGUCGCCCAGGCUGGAGUUCAGUGGCGCAAUCUCGGCUUACUGCAAUCUCCGACUCCCGGGUUCAAGUGAUUCUCUUGCCUCAGCCUCUGAAGCAGCUGGGAUUACAGGCGCCCGCCACCACGCCCAGCUAAUUUUUUUGUUUGUUUGUUUGUUUUUUUUGAGACGGAGUCUCACACUCUCUCCCAGGCUGGAGUGCAGUGGCGCCAUCUCGGCUCACUGCCAGCUCCGCCUCCCGGGUUCACGCCAUUCUCCUGCCUCAGCCUCCCGAGUAGCUGGGACUACAGGCGCCCACCACCACGCCCAGCUAAUUUUUUGUAUUUUUAGUAGAGACGAGGUUUCACCGUGUUAGCCAGGAGGGUCUCAAUCUCCUGACCUUGUGACCAGCCCGCCUCGGCCUCCCAAAGUGCUGGGAUUACGGUGUCAGCCACUGCGCCCGGCGUUUUUUUUUCUUUCUUUCUUUCUUUCUUUUUUUUUUUUUUUUGAGACGGAGUUUCGCUCUUGUUGCCCAGGCUGGGGUGCAAUGGUGCGAUCUCGGCUCACCGCAACCUCUGCCCCCAGAGUUCAAGGGAUUCUCCUGCCUCAGCCUCCCAAGUAGCUGGGAUUACAGGCAUGCGCCACCACACCCUACUAAUUUUGUAUUUUUAGUAGAGACAGCGUUUCUCCAUGUUGGCCAGGCUGGUCUCGAACUCAGGUGAUCCGCCGGCCUCGGCCUCCCAAAGUGCUGGGAUUACAGGCAUGAGCCUCCGCUCCCGGCCACGCCCAGCUAAUUUUUUUGUAUUUUUAGUAGAGACAGGGUUUCACCAUGUUGGCCAGGCUGGUCUUGAACUCCUGACCUCAUGAUCUGCCUGCCUCAGCCUCCCAAAGUGCUGAGAUUACAGGCGUGAGCCACCAUGCCCAGAGAUUAUUCUUUAAUUAAUCUCAAAAGCCUAACACCAGGGUAGUCUCUCUCAGCCUACUCUGGCUUGAAAAGCUGCCCAUUAAAAAAUAAAAAUAAAAGCCUAACACCAGAGUUCGAUAUAUGUUCACUCACACAUUUGUAGAAGGAACACAAUAUCUCUUAUAAUAUUCUUUACUUCACUAAUAAGUUAUAAUUUCAGCUAUACAUUAUAUGGCGUUAUUACUAGUUAAGUAAUAAAACCAAUGUAUUAUUUAUCUUGUUUUUCAUUUCUUAAAAAAUGAAUAAUUGGCUGGGCACGGUGGCUCACACCUGUGAUCCCAGCACUUUGGGAGGCCAAGGCAGGCAGCUCACUUGAGGUCGGGAGUUCAAGACCAGCCUGGCCAACAUGGUGAAACCCCAUCUCUACUAAAAAUACAAAAAUUAGCCAGGCAUGGCGCAGAUGCCUGUAAUCUCAGCUACUCGGGAGGCUGAGGCAGAAGAAUCGCUUGAACCAGGAGGCAGAGGUUGCAGUGAGCCAAGAUUGCGCCACUGUACUCUAGCCUGGGCGACAGAGAGAGACUUUGUCUCAAAAUAAAAAAAGAUUAAUCAAUUAUAAUGGACCAUAUUAUUUUAAUUUUAAUUUUCAAGAUUUAUUCUUAUAUUUGUUAUAUUUAUUUUUAAUAUUUUAUUAUGUUUUUUGAAUAUUGUAUGUGAAAUAAAAAAUGAAGUCAUGAUACAAAGUAAGUCUGACCUGUACAUGAAUGUUUGUAGAAGCUUUAUUAUAAUCACCCAAAACUAGAAGCAACCAAGAUGUCUUUCAAGAAGUGAAUGAACAAACUGGUGCACCUACACAAUGGAAGAGUAUUCAGAGGUAAAAAGAAACGAUGCCUGGCGCGGUGGCUCAUACUUGUAAUCUCAGCACUUUGGGAGGCCAAGGCAGGCGGAUCACAAGGUCAGGAGUUCGAGACCAGCCUGACUAACAUGGUGAAACCCUGUCUCUUGUAAAAAUACAAAAAUUACCUGGGCGUGGUGGCAUGUGCCUGUAUUUCCACUACUUAGGAGGCUGAGGCAGAAGAAUCGAUUGAACCCGGGGGUCAGAGGUUGCAGUGAGCCGAGAACACACCACUGCACUCCAGCCUGGGCAGCAGAGCAAGACUCCAUCUCAAAAAAAAAAGAAAGAAAGAAAGAAAGAAAUGAGCUGUGAAGCCAGAAAAAGACAUGCAUUAUUUUAAUUAUUUUAGUAGAGACAGAACUAGUAGAGUUAAUUAUUUUAGUAGAGACAUGAACCUCUUCAAAUGUGUAUUGCUGCCAGGAGGUUGGCUGACGCCUGUAAUCCCAGCAAUUUGGGAGGCCGAGGCAGGCAGAUCACUUGAGGUCAGGAGUUUGAGACCAGCUUGGCCAACAUGGUGAAACCCCAUCUUUACUAAAAAUACAAAAAUUAGCGGGGGGUGGCGGUGCACGCCUGUAAUCCCAGCUACUUGGGAGGCUGAGGCACGAGAAUCACUUGAACCCGGGAGUGAGAUAUUGCAGUGAGGUGAGAUGGUGCCACUGCACUUCAACCUGGGCAACAAAGUGAGACUGUGUCUCAAAGAAAAAAAAAGAUAUGUAUUGCUAGGUGAAAGAAGGCAGCCGGAAAAGGCAACAUACUGUAUAAUUCCAAUUA